rnacentral:rRNA from 1 species
GAUGAACGCUGGCGGCGUGCCUAAUACAUGCAAGUCGAACGCGCCGAGAAGGGAACUUGUUCCUUUCAACGCGAGUGGCGAACGUGUGAGUAACACGUGGGAAACCUACCCUUCAGCGGGGUAUAACCAUCGGAAACGAUGACUAAUACGGCAUAGUUUUUCCAGUCGCAUGACUGGAGUGGGAGAGACGGCUUCGGCUGUCACUGAAGGAUGGUCCCGCGGUGCAUUAGCUAGACGGUGAGGUAACGGCCUACCGUGGCAUUGAUGCAUAGCCGACCUGAGAGGGUGAUCGGCCACAUUGGGACUGAGACACGGCCCAAACUCCUACGGGAGGCAGCAGUAGGGAAUCUUCCGCAAUGGACGAAAGCCUGACGGAGCAACGCCGCGUGUGUGAAGAAGGUCUUCGGAUCGUAAAGCACUGUUAUCAGAGAAGAAUAGCCUAGAGAGUAACUGUUAUAGGUUUGACGGUACCUGAUCAGAAAGCCACGGCUAACUACGUG